rnacentral:lncRNA from 10 species
GCAUCACAGAAGAUUUUCUCAUUGACCAGCAAUCCAGAGAAAUGGCCUGGGCAGCUGGUCAGUAGUCUAGAUUCUAGAAUUGAUUUAAUAUUCGUGUUGGUUAGUACUAUAGGCACCACCUGAUUCUACUUUCCCUUCUUAUGAAUGAGGAGACUGAGGCCCAGAUUGGUAAAUUGAGUUGCCCAAGGUCACCAACAUGAGUAUGGCAAAGCUGAGACUAAACAGUACGUCUCCUAACUCCACGUUUUGUGCUUAUAGGACACAUCUUUGAAUGAAAGAGAGGGAAAUGACUGAGAAAAAGCAUGAGGGGAGAGGAGCCUUUGGAUUGACCUGUUUCCCCAGGUACAUGAGGGCUUCACAGAAAAGAAGUGAAAAAUCCAAAGAGGCAGUUGUCCUCUGGGGCUCAUAUACAAUUUUAACAAAGGGUGAUAAAUUGUGGAGAAGAGACUAGACAAAGGAAAGGGGUUUGGACUUCUGGAGUCAAUAAAUUGUGGGAAGGUGAGUAGAACAUAUAUGGAGGAAACUAAUGGUAGAUCAGAGUUCUUUAGCAACAUUUCUUGAUAUAGACUUAUUUUGGCACUCCUCUUUCUGAUAUGGGAAAGAAGGGACACCUGUUUCACAAGGAAAAUUUAUGCCCUGCUUUUAGGCAGAUGGGGAAGGACAGAGAGCUCUUCCUAUGUCUGAUUUGGCCCAGUUGCUUCCAGCUCAAAAUAAUUAUUAUGUCAAAGUGGCAUAUUAUGGGAUGAUAUAUACUAAUCCCCUUUUAAGGGAACAUGGAAUCCUAGUAUCUAAAUGUAUCAAAGAACUUUAAUGUUUAUUCCAUCCAACUUUCUACCUGAUCUUUGAAUUCUCUCCACAACUAAUCACCUCUCUACCUCUUUUGUUUGUUUUCUGUAUGUUCUUAGAACUUUCCUCUGUAUGUUUUUCUUUAUUGUUGUUCUCUUUUACUUUUUUACUUUCCUCAUUGUGUUCACC